rnacentral:tRNA from 1 species
GGAGGGGUGGCAGAGUGGUCGAAUGCACUGGUCUUGAAAACCAGCGUACCUUCUGGGUACCGUGGGUUCGAAUCCCACCCCCUCCG